rnacentral:misc_RNA from 1 species
GAAUUUAGCGCAGUUGCUUGCAACGCGUGACCCCACUCUAUACACUGUGCACUCAUUGGCGGAGAGAAAAAUUGGUACUUGUACCGAUUCAACUUUCUGCGGCUCACUUUAAGCACCAGUCAAAGUAUGUAUAUAAAUAAAAUAAGAAAAACUUUCAACAACGGAUCUCUUGGCUCU